UGACACUGCAGAGAAACUCACCUAAGG
rnacentral:piRNA from 1 species